GUCAAUGAAGAGCCACUUUCCAGGCGGGAGCGGGGUGUUGAGGGGCGGUGGGAGGACCCGGCCGCUCCCCGGUGGCCCCGCCCCGCCCGGCCCCGCCCCGCCCCUCUCCCCUCACAGCCCCGCGGCGGAAGAUGGCGGCGGGCGGCCCCCGGCCACCUGCCUGAGGCGGGACGGUGCGCGGCGGCCCCGGCUAGGCCAGGCGCUGGGCUGCGGCCCGGUCUGCCCGCCGAGGCGGGGUGAGAAGCAGCAGGCACCGGCGCCCUUUGGCUGUCUGGCGUUACCCGCCCCAGGAAACCCUCCGAAGCCAUAAAAUCGCCAGCAGAGGAAUACGGGGAAAAAGAAGUUACUGGGAAGGUCCAUGGACAAUCUUGUGGCUACAGAGAUAAAUUGUUAAGAUAGGGGAAGAAAAACCCUCCUUGUGUCCCAAUAGUAACACCUGCAUCAGUUUUGUGAAGGUUAUUCUGGGGUGUUGGAUUUGGGGGUAUUAAUCUCAGUAAUAUUACUAAAGGCUUCUAUAGGUUUUAGAUUGUAAUGGAAACAGAAGCAGCUGGGUUCAUGGAUGAUGUAGUAGUUCCAGGUAGAAGCUGGUAGGCUAAGAUAUUCUCUGACUGGAUAAAGCCCUGAGAAACCUAGUCUGAUCUCAUAGCUGACCUUGCUUUGAGCAGGAGGUUGGACGAGAGAUCUUCCGAGGUCAUUCUAACCUGAAUUAUCCUAUCAUCCUAUGAAAAUAGAGAAUCUGCUUUACUGAAACUAAUGCAGGCAUUAGGACAGAGAAGAUGGUUCCCAUCUAGAAAACAAAUGACGCAUUUUGAAAAGAUUGUGUUAUGCCAGUUAUUUUACAAUCUGAAGUUACAUAUACCCUAUAGAGGAACUUCUGUUUUCCCAAUAUAAGCCUAUGGAGAGAGCAGUAUGAAUCUUUCAACGCUGAUGCAGUCCUACAAGAUUCAGCUGGAUUUAACCAGGACCACAUUUUAAUUGGGGAAGCACAGAGACUGUGAAUAGAAGAUUAAAAACAUUGCUAAGAAGUUUUUACAUUAACUUCGUUAAUAUGAAGAAGAUUCUUUAAAAAAUGGGCAUUUACAACCUCAUGUUAUCUGUACAUCAAAGGAAAAAGUAUUUGUCUCGAUUCUAAGGUAAGUUUAUAUGAUUACAAAGAUCUUUGUGAAUAGGUGAGCUAAGGGGGAGAAGGACAGAUGUUGUGGGUUCACGUUUUUGCUUUAAUAUUAAUAUUUUGCACUUCUGUAAUCUCUUUCAUCUAAGGGUUUCAAAGCCCUCUAUGGACAUUAAUAAAUUAAGCCUCACAGCAGUCCUGAGAGAAAAGUUUAAGGGUGAUCAAGCACUGGAACAGGUUGCUGAGAGAGGUUGUGUAGUCUCCAUCACUGGACACAAUCCUGGACAACCUGCUGUAGCUGACCCUGGUUGGGCAGGGGGUUAAACUAGGUGAUCUCCAGAGAUGCCUUCCAACCUCAGCUACUCUGUAAUUGUGCGAAAUACCCUUGAUUAGCAAGUAGUACUGUGUUGCAAAAGAUCCAUGUCCAAAGGAUUUCUAUUCUUCCUGGCUUGAAGCAAGACUCGAAACUUCAUCUUUUAUAGCCCAAACUCUUGUAUUCUGUAUGAAUAACUGUCUGCUGUCAGGCCAGAAAGAGUCAUAUACACUUAGUUCUUCUCCGUAGCUUAACGGUUACGACAUUCGCUCAAUAUAUGGAUAAGACAAUUAUCUAGUACAUUUAUCUUUAGUUGUCUUGUAUGAACAAUGUCUCUCAUAAGUCAAUAGCAAAAGUGCUACCAACUUUAAAAUGUGGACUGUCCCAGCAAAAAUAUAUGAAUUUUUUUUUAACCUCCUGAGUUGCAUGUGCUUAUGCACUAACAGUUUAUCAUCAACAGAACCUGAAUUUUUCAGCUCCAAAGUACAAGUAAAAACUUGAACUAACAGUUGUAAUGACUGGUAACAAAUAUAAGAGCAAAACAAUCUCUCUGGUCCUGCACUAUAUAAGCAGGCAAAAGCAUACAUUUCAUCAAGGGGUCAUGCAUGUCAGAGAAGACAUUGAAACAUUUGAGAGGCCUGCAAAAUUCAAGCUCCCAGACUGGGCUUCAUCUCAAAAAUCUUCACACACACAUCAUUAACAGAUUAAGAGCUUAAACCUCCAGUUUCUCAGCACAGGCUUCUCUCAUUUGAAGGUUAUUUUAUCUUUUCUAAGUAGCAACAGCCCUUAUCUUGUCUAUGGCUUAGCCAUUAAGACGUGGCAUUUAUUUCAGUUACCAUUAAUGCAUCUGGAUGAACAGCAGAAUUUUACUUUCUAAUCCAAACUCUAAAAUGAUGUGCAGCAUCAAGAUACAUAUAGUCCUUUCCUUUUGAAAAGCAGAGGCAGUAGAUUUGCAAACUUCUAUAGAAGUUGUCAGGAGUCUCUCAAUGUUCUUUACAUGCUGUACACAUACCACUGCAUUUUACUUUGCAGUACCCAAAGUUUUUGGUCAAGAUACUGCUUAUCCCAGGCUGAGAGAGCUCAGAUACCCUCAUCAGCUCAGGAAGGCUCUUUAAUCCAGAGCUGAAAAACAUGAAAGGUAGAAGAUUUUUAGAUCUGAACUGCAGUUUGUUUGUUCUCAUUAUGUGGAAACGCCUUUGGAGUGUGUAAGUGCUAAAUUCUUACUUUCUGACAAGCUGUUCCCUUACCUAUGUUUUUCACUUUCAAAAUCUCUCCCCUAGAGCACUGAAGUUAGAGUAUUUAAACUGUGCAUCUAAACUGAAUAAUGUCUAUGAAAGAAGAAAUGUGUAAGGAAGCCUAAGGAUGGCUGAAUCUGUCUGUCUUCUGACAGAAGCUACUUAUAUCCAAGAAGUCAAUGUUUCCUCUGACAAAGUGCAACAUGUUUUUCCUGUAGUAUUUGUUAUUAAAAAAGGGUUUAAACCAAAUUCCCAAAUCCAAACAUGCAGAUACUGGGAAGAUCAGAUUUCCAGAUUAAAAACAGUAAAUAACACCUUAUCUUGUGUACAUUCAAAAUUGAGCUCUAACACCACAGUUCAUGCUUCUGUUCAUUUAUUACUAAGAUUGGCUUCACUGUUAGCCUAUACUUUUAGGGAGCUGAUGAACAUGGAUUGGCUUUGCUCAUAUUACUCAGAGAGCUAAUGUUCUAUUAUAAUUUAAUUAUUUCCAUAACACUGACACUACCAAGUACUAAUCCAAAUACUAGUUCUAAAAUACAACUGACACUAAAAGCUCCUCUGUUGUCUUGGGUGCCCCAAGCUGGCCAAGCAAACUCAAGAACGCAAGAAUAAGGCUAAGAUUAGGAUUCAGGUGGUUCUUAGUCCAAGCCGAGGCAUUCAGCGUCUCAGCGAGGCGUGCAGCUUGGCCGCUGGCUAACUGCGUGACCCUACAGUGGCACGUACAAACAACAGCAGUGUUUGGUGCACACCAAAGAGAGUGUUAAUAAGAUUUACAAAAACCCCAUGAGGAAUAAAGGAAUCGUGCUUGUUCCCAAGACAGGUUAGCACAAUACUGAGUUGUCUUGUUCACUUCUACUGUUGUCAAAUUAACUUGCUACGGUCUCUCCCCAUUUUGCAUACUGUAAAACUAUCAACAGUUGCUAGUUAUCACAUACUGUCCUUUUUAAACACCACACAAAUUUUCAUUUUAGUAAACAGGAACUGUCUUUACUUUGUAUGCAAGUAUCUGCCCCCAUGCUAAUUUAAUCAGUUCAAGCAGUUACAGAAAACUAAAAUCCAUCCUAACAUUAGCCAAAAUUUACUGGAGUGGAAAACAAACCUAAUACAUUUAUUUCAUACUGGCAGUCCUAACCUGACAUAUUUUCCUAACCAAAAAUAUUUUCAGGGGAAGGAGAAGACAGGGGAAGAACAGUUGCAGAUGAACCACAGCUGCGAAGCCUGCAGUAACACCUUUGUAUAUAAAAGUCGUUACCACAACUGCUGAAUGAACCAGGCAAGAACAAGCGUGAGCCAGCCAGGCUGCUGCGGAUGAGCCAAGAGAGGCAUCAGUUUGGUGGCAACAUACACCCCAGGUGAACUUCUUUCUGCCUUUUUAUGAACUGUUAAAAUAAACCUGAAGGAGAGUAGAAACAAAACCUAAAGAACCAAUAUCCAAGGUAACCACAACUGGAUGAUGUUUAUUUUGGCUAUUACAUUCAAUGUCUCCUACACUUCUUGGAGCAAGGAAUCUUUUUCUUGAAGACUGCAAUGAAAUUGAUACCAAUAAAAGGUCCCUAUGUUUUUUGGUAAUUUCACCUGAAACCUAGCUGCUACUGCUUAUGCCUUGUAGGAGAAAUUUCUCUAUGGGAAUUGCGUGCAGAGACCACGUACUUGUAAAGAAAAGGAAGGUUCCAUACCAAAAAUACUGUGGAUCAAUCAUGUAAAUAAAAACAUCCCUUUCGCA